GCAACACCUGAGGUACCAGCUGCUCUACUUCUUCAUUAAUUACUCCUUGUUUGGGAAGAUUCUCACACAAAAUCAUUUUGGAGCCCACGGUCCGACCAGUUUCAAGUGACUGAGAUUGCCAUGCACUGAUACUCUUGAAGCUAUUUUCCAGUCGGAUGAACCAAGACUAGUUACCAUAACAACUGUGGUUAUUACCACUGAGGUUAUACAUGUAUUGAGAGAAGACUUCUGCUUAUCCCCCAAAGUCCUCUGGCUAGCCUCUGGACACAGAGGAUGUCUCGUUGACUUCUUCGUCAAGCUACGUCCUGGGAACUGCGGUUAAGCACUGCGGGUGCAACAGACAAUAAGGCAUCACCGCCCCCUCCCCGUGGAGUUUACUCUCUAAUGCCAAAGCCAGCUGCCUCCUUCUACUUCACGUUCAGGGCCGUAACACCGUGCUGCACAGCUGAGCUCCGAUCCACGGUG